UUUUUCCACUAGGGGAGCAAUUUGCUGAGAAAGGUGUAUACCUGACCCUUAUGACCUGAUAUGGCUAAUACCAGCGUAGGGAAGUGGAUCGGUUUUUUU
rnacentral:ncRNA from 2 species